GAUGAACGCUGGCGGCGUGCCUAAUACAUGCAAGUCGAGCGAACAGAUGAGGAGCUUGCUCCUCUGACGUUAGCGGCGGACGGGUGAGUAACACGUGGAUAACCUACCUAUAAGACUGGGAUAACUUCGGGAAACCGGAGCUAAUACCGGAUAAUAUAUUGAACCGCAUGGUUCAAUAGUGAAAGACGGUUUUGCUGUCACUUAUAGAUGGAUCCGCGCCGCAUUAGCUAGUUGGUAAGGUAACGGCUUACCAAGGCAACGAUGCGUAGCCGACCUGAGAGGGUGAGGGGGCAGAAUGGGAAAAAGACCCGGGACAGACGAAGACGGGAGGCAGCAACAGGGAAUCUUUGACGAAGGGCUAAGGCCCGAAAGAGCAAAGAAGCGUGAAAGAAGAAGGUCUUAGGAUCGUAAAACUCUGUUAUCAGAAAAAAACAAAAGAGUAAGUAACAAUGCACGUCUAGACGCGGCGUAAUCAGAUAGACAGGGCUAACUACAUC
rnacentral:rRNA from 1 species